UAAAAAAUAAAAAAUAGAAGGUUAAUUUAAAUUUAAUAAGUACAAAAAAUAUGUAACUAAAUAAAAUUGCAGAACAAAGAAAAAGUAAUAAUUUGUUUUGUUGCUUUUAAAGUAUUAUUUUUAGUUGUGUGUUCUGUCAGGCAUAAUUUUCUUUUUAUUUGCUAUUGUAAUCGAUGAUGUAAGAUCAUUGAAGGUCUACAGUGCGAUCAUAGUUAAUCAUCGUUUUCGUGAUUUAAUAAUGGAAAUUGACAAUAAGGCUUCCGGAAAUUGCGAUAAAUAUGAAAGCGAAAGCAGUUCUCAUUCGACACCAGGCGAACACAAGUCUUUCGCUGAAUUUGCAAAGGACAAGCUGGAUAGUGCUGGCAGAGAACUGCGGAGGCGACUACCCAUAGCUGGUCAAAUAGGGGCACACCUUAUGCACCCUCGCAGACUGUUACUACAUUCUACUCCAACACAACAAACCGAUGUUGUUCUCAUAUUCCCUAAAGGUAUCCCAGAUAGCAUGCUUCUAUGGCUAUUACAAAAAUUACGUGGUAGUCGUCCAAGGCUCCGCGUGUGCGUUCGACAACACGCCUCCUCACAAUGCUCUGCCUUCUAUAUAACAGCUGACGACGAUGUACUCCUGCAAACGGCUGAGGAGAUCCACUUGCCAAAACAACUUAAACCAGAGUUUGGAGGAGGUUAUAAAGAGUUCACUGUUCGUGAUAUGCAUUGUUUUCAAAAGGGAUCAUCAGCAUCAGAACUCCUUAGUUCUCAAGAAAGAGGCGAGCUAGUUAAACACGUGCUAGAAGCAGCUAGAGCAGAGCCGGGAGAUGAACACGCUUUAGAACCGGCGUUAACAUUACGACCAGGACAAAGCAUUGUUCCGGCAUGUGUAAGCCGUGGUGUCAUAGGAAGUAUGUUUCCGCUUCACGAGCGAAAUGAAUUGGAGAGUUUAAGGAAGAAAUGGGUCAAGACGUUCUUCUCGCCACAACCUUUAGAUGAGAUAAGCGAAUACUUCGGCGUGAAGAUAGCUAUGUACUUCGCAUGGCUGGGGCAUUAUACACGCUCGCUCACUGUACCCGCCGUGGUCGGCUUCGUGUUUUGGGUUUGGCUGGGUACAGCGAGUGACAACUGGAAAGAUAUAGCUCACGUUUUGUUUUCGUUGUUCAAUGUAUUAUGGGCGUGUGUUUAUUUGGAGACGUGGAAAAGGUAUUCCAACGUGUUAGCGUAUAAAUGGGGUACGUUGGAUCAGAGAGAUGACUUGCUCCUGGAACCAAGACCUCUGUUUCAGGGUGAGAUGAGUAUAAGCCCUGUAACGGGUCGCCCUGAGCCGCAGUACGCGGCAUGGCGUCGUCGCGUUUGGCGUCACUGCGUUUCCUUCCCCGUCAUGCUGUUGUGUCUAGGAGUUGCUGGAGUCGCUACUUUCGCGUUGUUAUUAGCUCAGGAUUGGUGGGAAAACACAAUAGGCUACUUUAAUUGGAUUCCACGUGCCGCUUUGGCUAUUAUUAUAGCCGUAGAAGAGGAGGCAUACGCGAGGAUAGCCAGGUGGCUCAAUGACAAAGAAAAUUAUCGGCUUGAGACAAAGUAUGAGAACCAUCUGAUUGUGAAAAUUGCAUUGUUUCAGUUCGUAAACUCUUUCAUGAGUUUGUUCUACAUCGCAUUCUAUCUUCAGGAUAUGGAUAAAUUGAAAGAGCAACUAGCAGUUCUCCUUAUAACGAGACAGAUAAUUGGUAAUCUGAAGGAAUCUGCGCUGCCGUAUCUCAUUGAGAAUUUGAGAUUGGCCAAAAUCUGUUUUGACGUGUUUGGAGCUUUGAGUCCUAGUAAAAUUCAAACAUCAGAACAGCUAGCUGAACUAUUUGAAAAGGAAAAAAUCUCAUCAAGUGGUGAACCGCCGGAGUUAUUAUUGAACGGCACAGACAAAGACAGACGUGAUUCAGAACCUGUCGUGGGACAAAAGGUUAUACAUCAGGCGGAGCUGGAGUCGCAAUUGUUUAAGUACGAAGGCACAUUCGCUGAAUACCUGGAGAUGUUGACUCAACUAGGUCACGUGGUAUUGUUCUCCGCUGCGUUUCCUCUAGCGGCGUUAUGUGCUCUACUGAAUAACGCAUGUGAGAUACGAGCGGAUGCCUUCAAGCUGUGUCAUGUAGCCCAGCGACCCUUUGGAGAGAGAGUUAAUAGUGUGGGGAGCUGGCAGCACGCAAUGGAAGCGAUGGUAGCAGUAUCUGUAUUAGUUAACUGCGCGUUGAUUGGUCUAUCUGGGCCCGUACAUCGAUUGCUGCCUGACGCGACACCUGCUCAAACUGUUCUACUCAUUGUGGCUUUAGAGCACGUGGUAUUGGUGACGGUACUGGCUCUACGCGUGGCGAUUCCCGAGAUCCCGGCAUGGCUUGCCACUGAAAUGGCAAAGGUGGAGUUUCAAAGACGGGAGGCUAUCAAUUCUGCGCACGCGCCGCUAUUGUCGGAAUUUCCUAGUCAAGACGACAUACGUCCCUCUCGCACUCCACGAACAUUGACACCAACAACUCCGAAGCUCGAAAAGCCGGUGGAAAAAAAGAAAAUUAAUAUUGGGAAAAUUUCAGAAAUUCCACCAUUUAGGGUUGAAAUUUCCAGGCCUAAAGCAGCUUCUAUAGAUCCAGCAGUGACUACCGGUUCGCUGCAAAUGUUGCAAGAUGUCAGUCCUACGAAGCCUAUAUUACGGAAGGAAGCCAAUCCAGGUGCACCUCUGUCCCUUCUCGGCGUGCGAGGGUUAAGAGAUGAACCACUACACCGGUCUGCGCAUUGUAUUCCACACCCUACACACCACAGACCGCUUGUCAACCCUACGUUGCAGGAACUGUCGGGUAGUGUUAGUGCUGGAGGAUCUGAGCCGGAUUUGAAUGCUGUUCCGUCUCCUACUUCUCUAGACACCAGCGCCACUUCCAGUGAAGACGACAAGCCUAAAGACAAGGACAAGAGCAGUCGUUCCCGCGCACGUGCAGCUUUAGUGAAACGCGUCCGGUCAGUGGCAGUAUUUUCUCUGGGACUGCGUAAAGCACGCGAAGCUGCGCAGGCGCACGACAAACACUCGCCACACACACCAGAGCGACCGCUGACUACGCCGGGCCCACCGGCGCCAAUGUUAGGAGGCGAAUUAUCCCUAAUCCCCAUAGAACAGCUGAUCCAGGUGGAUGACGUCAAACUACCGCCGUCAACGUAAUCUUCCGUAGUUUAUGAAAACGCGUAUUGAGUUAUUAGGCGUACAGUUUUGUAUGGUUAUUGCUUCGUGUUAUGGUCGAAUACUUGUUUGAUGAAAGCCUCAAACCUAACAAAAAACCUAAUAUUUGUAGACCUAUUUUUGUUUUUUUUUCUAUAGUCUAGGAAAAGGAUGUUCCAAUAGGUUUACCGGAAUUCAAUUUCUAAUCAUUUGUUUUGACGACGUCUAAUAAAUAGUUGAACGCUGGCUGAGUCUUCCACUUGAAGACUUAAGUAUGCAAUCAUUUCAUCGAUAGUAAACGUUAAAAUGUCCUUACAUAUUCAGAUUUUAUUAUUUAAUAAAACCUGACAAAAUAAAUAUUUGACCAUAACUUGUUUAUUUUAUCCCGUAAUUUAACAUUUUAUAUGUAGGUUAUGAGUAACUUAGAUGACCCUGAUAAGUAAUUUAUAUUCAUUUGUAAAAUCCUUGUCUAAUUGUUAAUAUAUUGUUAAUGGUAAUUGUUAAUCCAUUUAGUAACCAGUAAUCUCGAUACAGUAUUAUUUAACCAGGAAAAGGAAUGAAUGUGCUACUAACGUGAUUAACGGGGAAAAAAAAUGUCCAUCAAAAUUAUUUAAUUAUAUUUGCACGUUUUAUGCUCAUUAAAUUGUUUAAAAAGGCCAUAGAUAAUGCUAAUCUUGAUUCAAAAUUUGAGAUUGGUCAUAGAUUAAAAACUUAUCAAGUACAAAAAGUCAGAAUGAAUUAUUAGUACCAACGAGAUAUUUGUGAUAUUGCUGUGAAUGUGUGUUGUUAAACGGUUUUUUUAGCAUUUUUAACAUUUUGAAAGUUUUUCGAUGUUGUUCAUAAUAUGUUUGUUAAUUCAGAGAUAAGCUUCGGGCAGAUCUGGCAUGUGUCAUUUUACCUUUAUCAAUCACUAUAUACAUUUCUUUGUUCUUUCCUUAAUAUAAAUUCUUAGGAACUAUGGAGGGUAGGAUAAUCUGCGUUUGUCAGAUCUGACUCGUAAAUCUAUAAGCAAUCUUCUGACAAUAAUGGCUGUUAUUUGAAAUAUAUCUUCCUUCUGUACUUCAACUUAAAGUUUAAUUGUUUGUUUCGUGUGUGUCCGUGUUAUUUCUUCUUUAUAAGGACUCUUACGAUGGAUAUUCUCUUAGAAGUGACGUAGCUCCUUUAAGGCAUUUAUUAACAUUCAAAUUUCAAUUCGUCAAUUAUGUGUCUACUGCAUAAACUAUAAUCUUUCCCUUUAUACAGUACAAGAAUUUUAUAGAACUUAGGAAUAAGUGUUCGGAAUUGCUCUAACGCCUGAGACGAAGUCACUUUGCGACAGGCGU